UACGUAGGGGGCUAGCGUUGUCCGGAAUCAUUGGGCGUAAAGAGCGCGUAGGCUGCUCGGUAAGUCCGCUGUAAAAGUCAAAGGCUUAACCUUUGAAUGUCAGUGGAAACUGCCGGGCUAGAGUCCGGAAGAGGCGAGUGGAAUUCCUGGUGUAGCGGUGGAAUGCGCAGAUAUCAGGAGGAACACCGGUGGCGAAGGCGGGUCUCUGGGCAGUAACUGACGCUGAGGAGCGAAAGCGUGGGGAGCGAACAGG
rnacentral:rRNA from 1 species